GUCCCCAGGAGCUCAGGCUGGCCAGAGGGAACCAGGCGCCUCUCAGGCCCGGCCUUGGUCCAUUGGAAGUUCCAGACGUAUAUGAUGGCUGUGUGAGAGACUAAAGGAUGCACAGAAUAUGACCAGACACAGGAUGGGAGCGCCCAGACGCCCACUUAGGUUUAACUGAAAUGGUCUGCAGAUGUUUUCCCCCACCAGAGGAGGUCGCUACCACGUCUCCUCUAUGGAGGAAUCCAAGAUCUGUUGGCUUGGAGAGCACACAUAGUCUUCCUGUGUCUGCACAGCUUGCUCGAGUAUCAGUGCCAUGGACUCUGGCCAGAGAUCUUGAGUAGCUCCUGGAAUAUCUUCUUACUCAGGAAACAUUUCCAAGGAACUUACUCUUGAGAGUGAAAUCUGAAGUUGAUUUUCUGACCUGCUCUUCUGGUGGCCCAGAGCAAUUUUCUACAGAAAGUACAUCAAAAACUUGUCUAAAUACAAGAACAGAUUGUGACUUACUAGACUUUUGUACUAAUGCCCGUCAGUGAAGAUUGUAAGACAUAUCUCAAGUGUCAUUACCCAACUGGGAAGAUAGUUUGAGAAUAUUUACAGCAAUAGUCAGAUGCUCCUCUCCAGCCAUCAAAUAUAAUAUGAACUUUGUGUUUAUCCGCACACCCCCUUGUUGCUGGUUUUAGCACAUAAGGGUUUUUUUCUGUUGCUUCAAAUUUCAUUCCCACCUUAAAUGAUUUAGGGUGGCUUCCAUGAUUACCUUCUUGAAAUGUAUUGAAUGUGUGAUUUCACAUGCAUUUAGAGAGUACAUAAGGAACAGUGGCAAGAUACCCAUUGACUCAGAUCCCCGGGGAAAGCUAAAGUGUGAUGCCCUCUUUUUUUUGGUUUUCCGUAACCAAAACAUCCCACAGGCUGUGCACUCCAGGGACAUGCAUGCUUCCCAGAGGCAUUUCCACCCUCAUUACUGUCGAGUGCUAUCUGUAAUAUGGUACUUCUAAUCACAGUAACUGUCACAAUGCAUGUUGAUGAAGCAUUGUGACAGUAAUGUGCUUGCUUGCCUUUCAAACCAAUUUUGAGGUCUUUAGAGAAUUCGGAAUGUCUGAAAUAUUGUGAAGGAACAGAGAAAGAUGCAGUUUCCUGCCAGUACUUGUUCCGCUGUACAGUGCUAUUUUUGCUCAGGUGAUACUUUUGCAUGCAUGCACAAAUGUGCUCACAUGUGAAAACUCUAAACUUAGGACAUUCUGAAGUGAGGCUCCUUAAUACUCAGGAACUAAGCAACUCAGAAGUCUCAAGAAGUCAGUGAAACUGGCCAGAUGCACAAAACCUUUCCUUCCCCAACUUAAACAGUAGGGACAGCU